rnacentral:rRNA from 1 species
AUACGUUCUCGGGUCUUGUACACACCGCCCGUCACACCACGAGAGUUUGUAACACCCGAAGCCGGUGGAGUAACCAUUUGGAGCUAGCCGUCGAAGGUGGGACAAAUGAUUGGGGUGAAGUCGUAACAAGGUAGCCGUAUCGGAAGGUGCGGCUGGAUCACCUCCUUUCUAAGGA